rnacentral:rRNA from 1 species
CCGGGUGAGUAACACGUGACUAACCUACCUUCGAGUGGGGGAUAACAUCGGGAAACCGAUGCUAAUACCGCAUAACAUCGCAAGAUCAAAGCAGCAAUGCGCUGGAAGAGGGGGUCGCGGCUGAUUAGCUAGUUGGCGGGGUAAUGGCCCACCAAGGCGAAGAUCGGUAUCCGGCCUGAGAGGGCGCACGGACACACUGGAACUGAAACACGGUCCAGACUCCUACGGGAGGCAGCAGUGGGGAAUUUUGCGCAAUGGGGGAAACCCUGACGCAGCAACGCCGCGUGGAGGAUGAAGCCCCUUGGGGCGUAAACUCCUUUCGACCAAGACGAUAAUGACGGUACUGGUGGAAGAAGCACCGGCUAACUCUGUGCCAGCAGCCGCGG